AAAGUUGUUGUGGUUAAAAAGCUCGUAGUUGAACCUUGGGCCUGGCUGGCCGGUCCCCCUCACCGGGUGCACUGAUCCAGCCGGGCCUUUCCCUCUGUGGAACCCCAUGGCCUUCACUGGCCGUGGCGGGGAAACAGGACUUUUACUUUGAAAAAAUUAGAGUGCUCCAGGCAGGCCUAUGCUCGAAUACAUUAGCAUGGAAUAAUAGAAUAGGACAUGUGGUUCUAUUUUGUUGGUUUCUAGGACCGCCUAAAAUCCUCCCCUUCCCUCUUAGAGUUAAUGAUGCUAUGAUAGCUAAGGUUCUAUAUAAGAAAUCCG
rnacentral:ncRNA from 1 species